rnacentral:rRNA from 1 species
UAAUAGACUACCCGGGUAGUCCACGCCCUAACGAUGCGAACUGGACUAGGUUGGUAACAUUAACGGGUAACUCGAGUGUCGAAGCUAACGCGUUAAGUUCGCCGCCUGGGGAGUACGGUCGCAAGACUGAAACUCAAAGGAAUUGACGGGGGCCCGCACAAGCGGUGGAGUAUGUGGUUUAAUUCGAUGCAACGCGAAGAACCUUACCUGGCCUUGACAUCUGUCGAAUCCUGCAGAGAUGCGGGAGUGCCGCAAGGAACGACAAGACAGGUGCUGCAUGGCUGUCGUCAGCUCGUGUCGUGAGAUGUUGGUUACGUCCGCAACGAGCGCACCUUCGUCCUAGUUCGCCAGCACGUAAGUGGUGGGAACUCGUAGGGAGACGU